GUCGUGAACCUGGCAUACAAUGUAGAUUUCUGUGUGGUACUAUCUACAGCUACAUUGUCUGCUGGGUUUCAGGCCAGCAGAAUAAUUCUGCUC
ensembl:miRNA dre-mir-221 microRNA 221